rnacentral:rRNA from 1 species
CCAGACUCCUACGGGAGGCAGCAGUGAGGAAUAUUGGUCAAUGGGCUUACGCCUGAACCAGCCAAGUCGCGUGAGGGAAGACUGCCCUAUGGGUUGUAAACCUCUUUUGUCAGGGAGCAAUUGAGUCCACGUGUGGGCUUAGCGAGAGUACCUGAAGAAAAAGCAUCGGCUAACUCCGUGCCAGCAGCCGCGGUAAUACGGAGGAUGCGAGCGUUAUCCGGAUUUAUUGGGUUUAAAGGGUGCGUAGGCGGAAUAUCAAGUCAGCGGUAAAAAUUCGGGGCUCAACCCCGUCCGGCCGUUGAAACUGGGGGCCUUGAGUGGGCGAGAAGAAGGCGGAAUGCGUGGUGUAGCGGUGAAAUGCAUAGAUAUCACGCAGAACCCCGAUUGCGAAGGCAGCCUUCCGGCGCCCUACUGACGCUGAGGCACGAAAGUGCGGGGAUCGAACAGGAUUAGAUACCCCAGUAU